GAUGAACGCUGGCGGCGUGCCUAAUACAUGCAAGUCGAGCGAACAGACGAGGAGCUUGCUCCUCUGACGUUAGCGGCGGACGGGUGAGUAACACGUGGAUAACCUACCUAUAAGACUGGGAUAACUUCGGGAAACCGGAGCUAAUACCGGAUAAUAUAUUGAACCGCAUGGUUCAAUAGUGAAAGACGGUUUUGCUGUCACUUAUAGAUGGAUCCGCGCCGCAUUAGCUAGUUGGUAAGGUAACGGCUUACCAAGGCAACGAUGCGUAGCCGACGUGAGAGGGUGGUCGGCCACACUGGAACUGAGACACGGUCCAGACUCCUGAGGGAGGCAGCAGAAGGGAAUCUUCGGCAAUGGGCGAAAGCUUGACGGAGCAACGCCGCGUGAGUGAUGAAGGUCUUCGGAUCGUAAAACUCUGUUAUUAGGGAAGAACAAAUGUGUAAGUAACUAUGCACGUCUUGACGGUACCUAAUCAGAAAGCCACGGCUAACUACGUG
rnacentral:rRNA from 1 species